GACGAACGCUGGCGGCGUGCUUAACACAUGUAAGUCGAACGGAAAGGCCCUGCUUUUGUGGGGUGCUCGAGUGGCGAACGGGUGAGUAACACGUGAGUAACCUGCCCUUGACUUUGGGAUAACUUCAGGAGACUGGGGCUAAUACCGGAUAGGAGCUCCUGCUGCAUGGUGGGGGUUGGAAAGUUUCGGCGGUUGGGGAUGGACUCGCGGCUUAUCAGCUUGUUGGUGGGGUAGUGGCUUACCAAGGCUUUGACGGGUAGCCGGCCUGAGAGGGUGACCGGCCACAUUGGGACUGAGAUACGGCCCAGACUCCUACGGGAGGCAGCAGUGGGGAAUAUUGCACAAUGGGCGGAAGCCUGAUGCAGCAACGCCGCGUGCGGGAUGACGGCCUUCGGGUUGUAAACCGCUUUCGCCUGUGACGAAGCGUGAGUGACGGUAAUGGGUAAAGAAGCACCGGCUAACUACGUG
rnacentral:rRNA from 1 species